rnacentral:rRNA from 1 species
UACGUAGGCAGCGAGCGUUGUUCGGAGUUACUGGGCGUAAAGCGUGCGUAGGCGGUGGUCCAAGUCUGGUGUGAAAUCUCCCGGCUCAACUGGGAGGGUGCGCCGGAAACUGGGCCGCUGGAGUAUGGGAGAGGCAAGCGGAAUUCCAGGUGUAGCGGUGGAAUGCGCAGAUAUCAGGAGGAACACCGGUGGCGAAGGCGGAUCUCUGGGCCAUAACUGACGCUGAGGAGCGAAAGCAUGGGGAGCGAACAGG